CGCGUAGGCGGUCCGGUAAGUCCGCUCUGAAAGUCCGGGGCUCAACCCCGGGAGGCGGGCGGAUACUGCCGGGCUAGAGUCCGGAAGAGGCGAGUGGAAUUCCUGGUGUAGCGGUGAAAUGCGCAGAUAUCAGGAGGAACACCGAUGGCGAAGGCAGCUCGCUGGGACGGUACUGACGCUGAGGCGCGAAAGCGUGGGGAGCAAACA
rnacentral:rRNA from 1 species